UGAGGAAUAUUGGUCAAUGGACGCAAGUAUGAACCAGCCAAGUAGCGUGCAGGAUGACGGCCCUAUGGGUUGUAAACUGCUUUUAUAUGGGGAUAAAGUGGGGAACGUGUUCCCUUUUGCAGGUACCAUAUGAAUAAGGACCGGCUAAUUCCGUGCCAGCAGCCGCGGUAAUACGGAAGGUUCGGGCGUUAUCCGGAUUUAUUGGGUUUAAAGGGAGCGUAGGCCGUUUGGUAAGCGUGUUGUGAAAUGUAGGAGCUCAACUUCUAGAUUGCAGCGCGAACUGUCAGACUUGAGUGCGCACAACGUAGGCGGAAUUCAUGGUGUAGCGGUGAAAUGCUUAGAUAUCAUGAAGAACUCCGAUUGCGAAGGCAGCUUACGGGAGCGCAACUGACGCUGAAGCUCGAAGGUGCGGGUAUCGAACAGG
rnacentral:rRNA from 1 species